UACGAAGGGGACUAGCGUUGUUCGGAUUUACUGGGCGUAAAGCGCGCGUAGGCGGAUCGCUAAGUCAGGGGUGAAAUGCCGAGGCUCAACCUCGGAACUGCCUUUGAUACUGACGAUCUGGAGAUUGGGAGAGGUGAGUGGAAUUCCGAGUGUAGAGGUGAAAUUCGUAGAUAUUCGGAGGAACACCAGUGGCGAAGGCGGCUCACUGGUCCGGUACUGACGCUGAGGUGCGAAAGCGUGGGGAGCAAACAGG
rnacentral:rRNA from 1 species